rnacentral:rRNA from 1 species
AGAGCGAACGCUGGCGGCAGGCCUAACACAUGCAAGUCGAACGGACCCUUCGGGGUUAGUGGCGGACGGGUGAGUAACACGUGGGAACGUGCCUUUUGGUUCGGAAUAGCUCCUGGAAACGGGUGGUAAUGCCGAAUGUGCCCUUCGGGGGAAAGAUUUAUCGCCAUUAGAGCGGCCCGCGUCUGAUUAGCUAGUUGGUGAGGUAAUGGCUCACCAAGGCGACGAUCAGUAGCUGGUCUGAGAGGAUGACCAGCCACAUUGGGACUGAGACACGGCCCAAACUCCUACGGGAGGCAGCAGUGGGAAUCUUGCGCAAUGGGCGAAAGCCUGACGCAGCCAUGCCGCGUGAAUGAUGAAGGUCUUAGGAUUGUAAAAUUCUUUCGAACCGGGACGAUAAUGACGGUAACCCGGAAGAAAAAGCCCGACUAACUUACGCGCCAGCACGCCGC